AAUGUCUGGUGUUGUCUGUGCAGUUAAUGGAAGCACGUGCACCUGAGGCGCAGCGUGCACUGGUUCCUCAGCCUCGCCCGCCUCACUUCUAUGACCAGUAUACAGAUAGGACAUAUGGAUUGUCGCGUGCAAUGGGAGCACAUCCACCAUUCCGUGCUGAACAGAGACACUCACCAUCACCACUGAUGUUUACAGAGCAGCAGCCUGCUAGAAAUCCACCUUUGCCUUUUGUUUACGGAGAGGGCCAUGCACAAACACCAUUUCAAGAAGGGGCAGAUGGUUUCGCUGACGUCAAUGACUCCAGUUAACCCUCGGACGAUGAGAAUUAUUUACGUGGUGUUUAAUUAACCGUUUGAGUUUUAGUUUAUUUUAGUUGUUGGCCACUCAACAUUUGGUGUGACAUCUAGAGUCCUUUAUAAAUGUCUGUAUAUUAAUAUGUGUGUCUUUUCCUCUUGGGCAUUACUUUGUUUCUGUUGGUGGCUCCACAUUUUAUGAUAGCCUGAAGUGUGAUAAAGCUUUUACCUCAGCAGUUUGAUUGUCAGUGCUUGUUUACCUCAUUGUUAAAUAAAUAUAUUUUUUACUAUCAGCUUGAUGUCUGCAAUUCUUCAUUAACACAUCACUACAAGAUUAAUGUCUCUAAUGUUAUAAUCCCUCUCAUGCUGAAACACAAAAUAGUUGAAGGGAGGUGAUAUAAUCACAUUUUCAUUUAUUUUCAUUUUUGAGUGUUCAGGUCCAUCAAUUGUUGAGCUGACGUUUGAAAGUUUCACCUCUCGGUAGAAAAUAAAAUAAGCCAAUCAGCACGGUAAAUGUGAGACAAAGUCUUUAUCCCUAUUUGACAAUAUAAAAAGACGACUUCUUGCACAUAUUGAGAGAAGGUGCAUCACACCAAACAUUUGUCUAUAAAAGGGCCUCGCAAACACGAAAAUCAACAAAUGAGGCACGCUAGAUUAUUUUAAACGCAUUAUAUUCAUUAACCUCCACAACAAGCCUAAACUCAGCCAUUAAAAGGGACAAUGCAAUGUGCUAAAUGGCAGGUUUUGCGGACGAACAUCUUAUAGAAAGCACUUUUCAGAGGACAACACUAGAAAGUCACCUUAGUAUAGGCAUGUCUCCAAAUGAGCCAAUUCAACGAAGGGAGGAUACUUAUAGUGUGUGAAAAAAAAGUGACAUCAUUUGUGCCACGUGAUGAACAACACUUCACAGUCCACAAUGUUCAUUCAAGAUUUAACGGGAAAGCUUGGGAGACGGACUAGUCACUCGCACAAAUAACAGAAAUGCCGAGUACCAUGGGAACUCUUUAUCUACCCCCCGUUAUAUCGUGUGAUAUCGUGCUAGACCACGACCACUUCACUCUGGUUACAUCUUGCGUCAUGUCGCCCCGUGAGAAAGCGCUUUAACUACUAUUGGAAAACAGGAAUUAUGUAUGAACUUUAAACCAGGUGUAGUAACCAAAAUAUAGUCUGGGGAAAUAAAGGCGGAAGAAGGAAAGUCUGACAGCAAAUGUAAUUCAAUUGUGAAAUAUAUUCUCAGAUUGAAAUCCUAAACUAUGAAAAUGAAAUUUCCAAGGCCAAAUUGGUUAAUUGGAAGUAAUUAUGACUGAUCAAGUCGUUAGAAAUUCACUUUCACCAAACUUUUGUUUGACCCUAAACUUUUUCUGUCAUGUUGCCAAGUUAUCUGUAAUGCAGUAAACCACACAGAUUUAUUUCAAGCUUGUGUCCAUUGGCAGGUUGCCAUCACAGCAGAGCCUAUGGAGAAGCAAGGUAAGUUUGACCUCAGGGCCUCGAUUACUACACUAAACUGUGUGUGUACACUUCAGAAGGUGCAGUCAAGUUAAUCCAUAAUAAGUGCUUUUGGCCUCAUCAUUCAUGUCAACACAAAAUAUGCCCAACAUAAAUCAUUGCUUUCCUGAACAAUUGUUGUAUGCAAAUGUAUAAUGAUGAAAAUGCAAGAUUGAAAAGAGUGAUGGUGUUUGUAUAUUUAUGGGGGACAAAUUCAAUUCUCUUCACAUGAUGACAACUGAAUAAUGUUGGAAUUAAAAUUGCCAAAGUCUUUGGGCACUAAGUUUGAGCAUGUCGCAAUGGAAAAUUCAGACUCUAAUGUGCAUGAAUCCUGCCAGGGGAAUUCAUUUUGACGCGGCAUUUUAUCUAGUUUUAAAUAGAAUACCGAUAACACAGCAAUAAAGUGGCUGUCUCACUUGGGCGACCUAAUCCGCGAGUUCUGGCGAGUUUGCCCUCGACUCAUACUCGCAGCAUGGUCGACAUGAGGUCGUAGGAGGUCUUUGUAACUCCUUCAUGCUCGAGAGUAGUCCCCGUGUACUCGAGGCCUCAGCUAGGUCAAAGCGUAUUUUUCAACACGAGUAAAAAAACGUCGCCAUGGAAAAAUUUCGAUACAUUUUUUACUCGUACGUUUAGUCGUAAUAGGUUGUAGUAGGUCAUAGUAGGUCGGUAUGUUAGUCGUAGGUAAUCAAGGGUAGUCUAAGGUAAUCAAAGGUAGUCGAAGGUAGUCGUAAAUAGUCUUCAUCAUAGUCGAAGGGAGGUUGAAGGGAGGUCGAAGGGAGGUUGAAAGAGAUCGAAUGAGGUCGUCUUCACUCUCCACUAUUCGGUGCCCAAUUUUCCCGGUUAGUCAUAGCUAGUUGUAGCUAGUCGAAGCUAGUCUUCUACAUAGUCGAAGGAGGUCGAAGGAGGUCUUCUACAUAAUCGAAGGAGGUCUUCAACAUGACAUUUUUUCAACUCUCCUAAACUCGCCAAUUAGGUUGCUCAAGUGGGACAGCCCCUUAAAGCUGCAUAUUUCAACUACAUUCUCUGAUGGACCAGUACCUGCAUAAUAAACACAGGUAAUCCAUAUGCUAAUGUAAAAUGAAUGAAGAUAUUGUAUCAUAUUGUUUUCCAAUGUUUACUAGAUAAUUGCUCAUUCUACGUUAAAUAGUACAAAACUGUGAUCAUAAAUGUUAACAGCUGAGGUAUUCUCAUUCACACUUCUCUUCUCAUGCAAUCGGCUUGAUAAUGGCUUUUGUAAAUAGUCAGAGCCACGGUAAAAGCUUAAAUCUUAUUCUCUGCUGUAAUUAUCCAAUUGAUUGUUUUCCCUACCAGAAGAUAAUUAUAAUGGCCAAUGUCUCUCCCAUUAAAUCUAGAACAUGAAAUACAAUGGUAAAAAUGAAGUCGUUGCUGAUGGAAGGAAAGCAUCAUUUAUAUUUUUGCUGAAAUAAAUGCUACAUCCAAGCACACGCUCCUGUAUCUGUACACUAUCGAUGGUUUAAUUAUAAUCACGUAUGGUCUUUUUGUUGACUGGAUAGCAUGCAACAAAAAGCUUUUCACUGUACUGCAGUACACAUGACAAUAAUAAACUAAGCUAAACAUACAUCUUAGGCAGUGUAUUGAGAGGACCAUGAACGUCAGAUGUCAUAUCCUGGCAACCCUAACUUAGUGCAAGUAUUGUGCCUUAAUUAUGUUGGGGUUAAGUUGUAUUGGAGAAGGAUAUGUCACCAGUAUAACUUGUCAAGGUAAGAAACGGUUGCAUUUGCAGACUCUUUGUUUGAAAGAUCAUUCAAUCAGUGUUAAUUGAAGAAUGGAUUCUUCAAACUGCUUUUCAGUAGUUUCAGCAGGUGUGGAUAAAAAUACAUUGAGAGGAUCAAAAUAAGAUUCAAGAUUCAAGAUUCAAUUUAAUUGUUACAUGUACCAAUUAAGGUACAGUGACAUUUGCGUUACCAUACAGUGACAUACUAAGUGCGAAAAACAACAAUUCAGCCACAUAAAAUAAAUUUAACAUAAACAUCCACCACAGCGGAAUCCACAUUCCUCACUGUGAUGUAAGGCAAUAAAGUUCAGUCAUCUUCCUCCUUUGUUCACCCGUGGUCGGGGCUGAACCCUCUGCACUUGCCGUUGCCGACGUUCCGAUGUUCAAGCCCUCUUGUUGGGAUGUUCGAAACUCCGAUGUCGGGAUGGAUCAGAACUCUCCACGGCAUGGAGCUCCUGAGUGGGCCGCUUCUUACCAGAGACCGCUGCUUCAUGGUGUCCACAUGGCGGUUGGAGCUCCUACACUGGCGAUCCUCUGCAAAAGAUCCCAGGAUCCACGAUGAUAAGUCCAUGCCGCGCCCGUGGCUUGAAGCUUCAGGCCGGUCUCCAAGAAAGACCACUCCACUCCAUGUACCCCCUUGCGGGGGGACGGAGAUGUGACACAGAGGAAAAUCGCAUCUCCUUCGAGGUAAGUGA